AUCGAACGCUGGCGGCAGGCUUAACACAUGCAAGUCGAACGAGUGGCGGACGGGUGAGUAAUGUCUGGGAAACUGCCUGAUGGAGGGGGAUAACCACUGGAAACGGUAGCCAAUACCGCAUACUAUCAGAUGUACCUAGUGGGGAUUAGGUAGUUGGGGGGGUAACGGCUCACCAAGGCGACAAGCCCUAGCCGGUCUGAGAGGAUAACCAGCCAAACUGGAACGGGGACCCGGUCCAAACUCCUACGGGGGGCGCAAUUGGGUAAUAUUGCAAAAUGGGCGAAAGCCUAAUGCACCAAGGCGGCGUAUAUAAAGAGGGCUUUCGGGUUGUAAAGUACUUUCAGCGGGGAGACGGUACCCGAAGAGAAAGCACCGGCUAACUCCGUGCCAGCCGCCGCGGUAAUAC
rnacentral:rRNA from 1 species